GUAGGUGGCAAGCGUUGUCCGGAAUUAUUGGGCGUAAAGCGCGCGCAGGUGGUUCUUUAAGUCUGAUGUGAAAGCCCCCGGCUCAACCGGGGAGGGUCAUUGGAAACUGGGGAACUUGAGUGCAGGAGAGGAAAGUGGAAUUCCACGUGUAGCGGUGAAAUGCGUAGAUAUGUGGAGGAACACCAGUGGCGAAGGCGACUUUCUGGCCUGUAACUGACACUGAGGCGCGAAAGCGUGGGGAGCAAACAGGGAUUAGAUACCCUGGUAGUCCACGCCGUAAACGAUGAGUGCUAAGUGUUGGGGGGGUUUCCCGCCCCGUCAGUGCUGCAGCUAACGCAUUAAGCACUCCGCCUGGGGAUACGGCGCAAGACUG
rnacentral:rRNA from 1 species